UUAGCACCCUUUAUAUCCAUGGUUAUCCAUGGGCUCUUAGUUACUUAGCUCACUUUGUUUGUUUACAAGAGUGUAGUGUGUGAUUAGAAAAAUUUCUUUAAGUACUUUGUAAUGACCCUCGUAUGGGUGUAUACAAAGCCUAGUUUAGAAAUUGUGAGGUGUAAAAGUAAUUUUGAAAAGUGUGAGCAAGUAACUAUGAGAUACCUACC
rnacentral:lncRNA from 1 species